rnacentral:lncRNA from 1 species
GAAAAAGAAUCACAUAUUCUCCAGAUUCGUUUUUUUGGACUGUUCGCCGCCCUAAUCUGUUUUGUUCGUUCGAUUAUUGAGUAAUGGAAGAUAAAAGUAUGCAAGGACAAAGCUCCAAAAGACGUAUGAAUGCUUAUGAAAAGAGUAGAAUGUCAAGGAUUCGAGAGAACCAAAAAAAAAUUACAAGCUUUGGGAUUGAAAAAUAUUGUUAAAUCUUUGAGAAGUCUAGCAGAGAGUGACAAAACAAAGAAAAAGCAUCACUAGGUCGGAGAUGAAGUUUUCCUCAAAAGCAUUCUAAACUCUACCGAGAUUGUAGCAAGAGACGUAUGAAUGCUUAUGAAAAGAGUAGAAUGUCCAAAAGACGUAUGAAUGCUUAUGAAAAGAGUAGAAUGUCAAGGAUUCGAGAGAACCAAAAAAAAAAUUACAAGCUUUGGGAUUGAAAAAUAUUGUUAAAUCUUUGAGAAGUCUAGCAGAGAGUGACAAAACAAAGAAAAAGCAUCACUAGGUCGGAGAUGAAGUUUUCCUCAAAAGCAUUCUAAACUCUACCGAGAUUGUAGCAAGAGGAAGGGUCCAGAGCUUGGACCCAAAUGAUCUAGUUGGUGGUACAGAGAUUGGACCAGAAUGGUGUGAGGUAAACGUUCAAGUACCAAUAAAAAAAGAUGAAAACUUGGUAAGACCAUAUGGUUUAUUUUCUACAAUUCAAGAUUGUAUUGGUGCAUCCAUCGCAUGGCCUUAUCCAUUUAUCUCGGUAGUCCAUGAGGAUUGAGGACGCAUGAUGACUCAAGAUUUUAUACUUCUUAUUUCUUUAAUUGCUUUUAAUUUCUUUGUUAAAAGUUAAGACUUUAUGUUAGAUAAUGUUAAAACUUAUUUAUGGAUAAUGUUUUUGUUAUGAACAUGCUUAUUUGAAAUAUAAUGAUUUU